GAUGAACGCUGGCGGCGUGCCUAAUACAUGCAAGUCGAGCGAACGGACGAGGAGCUUGCUUCUCUGAUGUUAGCGGCGGACGGGUGAGUAACACGUGGAUAACCUACCUAUAAGACUGGGAUAACUUCGGGAAACCGGAGCUAAUACCGGAUAAUAUUUUGAACCGCAUGGUUCAAAAGUGAAAGACGGUCUUGCUGUCACUUAUAGAUGGAUCCGCGCUGCAUUAGCUAGUUGGUAAGGUAACGGCUUACCAAGGCAACGAUGCAUAGACGACCUGAGAGGGUGAUCGGCCACACUGGAACUGAGACACGGUCCAGACUCCUACGGGAGGCAGCAGUAGGGAAUCUUCCGCAAUGGGCGAAAGCCUGACGGAGCAACGCCGCGUGAGUGAUGAAGGUCUUCGGAUCGUAAAACUCUGUUAUUAGGGAAGAACAUAUGUGUAAGUAACUGUGCACAUCUUGACGGUACCUAAUCAGAAAGCCACGGCUAACUACGUG
rnacentral:rRNA from 1 species